UGCUUUUCCGGCAACAAAUGAUAACCAUACCUCUUUUAAUUCGAAUAGUAUUAUGAUGAGGACACUUAAAUUUCCCGUGAUUAUUAUUAACCUUUUUGCUAUCAUACUUUUACGACACAUCUUUUAUCCACAAAAGGUUGCAACACUUUUCCAACUAUAAGAAUCGUUUCUACUAUAGGUAGAAGGCCUGAAAUUUUGGUAGAGGGGUAAGUCGAUUACAUCGACCCAGCACUCAACUGGAAGUUAUUUCAUCAACCCAGAAAGAACGAAAGACAAAGUCAACCCCCCACCCAGCAAAUGGUAACCUCACAUGAAUCAAGCCAACGAGAAACUCUAUGCAGUCACUCAACCUAUUAGAAAUAAAUGCGAAAUCAAUACCAUUUCAACACCAUCGUUAUCGGAAUACUUGAUUUGAGUUUCUUAGUCAAGAGGAGGAAAAGCAACGAUCAUAACUUUCACAGGGAGCACGUCAGUGACUGGUGAAAGGAGAGGGAAAAGUUGUUCUCAGACCGGAGAUAUGAUCUGAAUACUUGCAGCACAGAGGAUUGCUUUAAAGUCGGCCAACCCUAACCCUAAUCCUAGAUGAUGGUUUAAAGCUGAGCGAAAGCUUAAGUCUACUACACCAAACCAGGAACGGUUAUUUCGGAGGGUUUUCACACAUUUUCUCAACCAAUAUCAAUCACAACGACGAUCCAAGUUUACUUGACCAAAGUAUCAUUAAUACAGUGUAAUAGUUAUAUAAAUAUUGAUAAAGAAAAUCGCUAUAACUGAAA